GCCCCUAUAGUUCAGUUGGUAGAACGCUGGGUUCAUAUCCUGGCAGUCGGGGGUUCGAGUCCUCCUAGGGGCACCA
rnacentral:tRNA from 1 species